GCAAUGUGCUUUCUCAGGGACUUGAGGUUGUAUUUUCGAAUGUCCUUCCCAUCAAUCAUAACCCUUCCUGAUGAUGGCUCAUAGAAACGCUGUAUAAGUGCAAUGACUGAGCUCUUACCACAUCCACUUGGACCUACAAGGGCUAGAGUUUUUCCAGCUCUUGCACGAAGAUUGAGAUCACGGAAAAUUGGGACAUCAGGGCGAGUUGGAUAAGA
rnacentral:misc_RNA from 1 species